GAUGAACGCUGACAGAAUGCUUAACACAUGCAAGUCGAUGGGGAAGUGGUGCUUGCACCAUGGUAACCAUGGCGGACGGGUGAGUAACGCGUAAGGAACUUGCCUGCGGGACUGGGAUAACAGCAGGAAACUGCUGAUAAUACCGGAUAAGGUCAUUAAGCUGCAUAGCUUAGUGAUGAAAGGAGACGCCUGCGGAGAGCCUUGCGUCCUAUUAGCUAGUUGGAGGGGUAACGGCCCACCAAGGCGAAGAUAGGUAGCCGGCCUGAGAGGGUGGACGGCCACGAGGGGACUGAGAUACGGCCCUUACUCCUACGGGAGGCAGCAGUGGGGAAUAUUGGACAAUGGGGGCAACCCUGAUCCAGCAAUUCUGUGUGCACGAAGACGGUUUUCGGAUUGUAAAGUGCUUUCAGCAGGGAAGAAGGAAGUGACGGUACCUGCAGAAGAAGCGACGGCUAAAUACGUG
rnacentral:rRNA from 1 species